AAAAUACUCCCUUCGAUCCAAGUUAAUUGUUGCAGCUUUGUCUAGACACGAAUGUAUCUAGACGUGUUUCAGUGUGUAGGUACAUGUGUUCUAGACAAAGCUGCGACAAUUAAUUUGGAUCGGUGGUGUAAAAU
rnacentral:pre_miRNA from 1 species